rnacentral:lncRNA from 1 species
GACAGGACUGAGGUAUGUGCUAAACCAUUCACACAGGACUUGCCUGCUAUGUGCCCCUUGAUGCUUGCAUGCUUUUUCUUCUCCCAGGUGGACAGGACGCUCAUUUUCCAUUGCCACAGCGACGGGUAGGAAGGCUGAAACCAGGAGGGCCAGCGGGAGAGCUGCAGGGCAGGACACAAUGCCAUCCAGUGCCUGGGGUCUCGUUAUUAGGAAAUGUGAAAAGGUUACUGAAACUGCAUCCAGUGAAGGCAUUAUAGUUUUGAAAGACCUCGAAAUGAAGGUGAGUCUGGCGAGGGAUAGCCAACCCCUCACAAAGCUAUUAACCCAUCUAAUUGGAAUUUGAUCAUGACAAUUAAAGGCACAUAUCAGUCUUUUCUUUUUAUAACCUUCAAAUAAGAUCUAUGUCUGAAAGCCCCAUCUAUGACGACAGUUGAUUUAGAAAA